GACGAACGCUGGCGGCGUGCUUAACACAUGCAAGUCGAACGAAGAGCGAUGGAAGCUUGCUUCUAUCAAUCUUAGUGGCGAACGGGUGAGUAACGCGUAAUCAACCUGCCCUUCAGAGGGGGACAACAGUUGGAAACGACUGCUAAUACCGCAUACGAUCUAAUCUCGGCAUCGAGGAUAGAUGAAAGGUGGCCUCUACAUGUAAGCUAUCACUGAAGGAGGGGAUUGCGUCUGAUUAGCUAGUUGGAGGGGUAACGGCCCACCAAGGCGAUGAUCAGUAGCCGGUCUGAGAGGAUGAACGGCCACAGUGGGACUGAGACACGGCCCAGACUCCUACGGGAGGCAGCAGUGGGGAAUCUUCCGCAAUGGACGAAAGUCUGACGGAGCAACGCCGCGUGAGUGAUGACGGCCUUCGGGUUGUAAAGCUCUGUUAAUCGGGACGAAAGGCCUUCUUGCGAACAGUUAGAAGGAUUGACGGUACCGGAAUAGAAAGCCACGGCUAACUACGUG
rnacentral:rRNA from 1 species